UCGUACCCCGGUUACUUAAGCAUAUCAAUAAGCGGAGGAAAAGAAACCAACAGGGAUUGCCUCAGUAACGGCGAGUGAAGCGGCAACAGCUCAAAUUUGAAAUCUGGCUCCUUCGGGGCCCGAGUUGUAAUUUGCAGAGGAUGCGUCGGGUACGGGUGCCUUCCGAGUUCCCUGGAACGGGACGCCAUAGAGGGUGAGAGCCCCGUCUGGUAGGACACCCAGCCCGUGUGACGCUCCCUCGACGAGUCGAGUAGUUUGGGAAUGCUGCUCUAACGGGAGGUAUACUCCUUCCAAGGCUAAAUACCGGCUGGAGACCGAUAGCGCACAAGUAGAGUGAUCGAAAGAUGAAAAGCACUUUGAAAAGAGAGUCAAACAGCACGUGAAAUUGUUAAAAGGGAAGCGCUCGCUACCAGACUUGGGUUCGGCGGUUCAACCGGGGCCACGCCCCGGGGCAUUCCGCCGGCCCAGGCCAGCAUCAGCUUUCCGUCGGGGGUAAAGGCGUCGGGAAUGUGGCUCCCCUUCGGGGGAGUGUUAUAGCCCGUCGUGUCAUACCCUUCGGGGGGCUGAGGUACGCGCUUCUGCAAGGAUGCUGGCGUAAUGGUAGCUAGUGACCCGUCUUGAAACACGGACCAAGGAGUCAACCUUAUGUGCGAGUGCCCGGGCGUAAAACCCCAGCGCGGAAUGAAAGUGAACGUAGGUGAGAGCUUCGGCGCAUCACCGACCGAUCCUGAUGUCCUCGGACGGAUUUGAGUGAGAGCAUAUAGGGUUGGACCCGAAAGAAGAUGAACUAUGCGUGUGUAGGGUGAAGCCAGAGGAAACUCUGGUGGAGGCUCGCAGCGGUUCUGACGUGCAAAUCGAUCGUCAAACAUGCGCAUGGGGGCGAAAGACUAAUCGAACCUCCCUUCGC
rnacentral:rRNA from 1 species